rfam:Bacteriovorax marinus SJ genome.
CGAGAUGGGAAGACUAUCGCUGGUGAAGGAUUCUUCACGAGAGGAAAGUCCGGGCUCCACAUGGCGAUGUAGCGGGUAAUGCCCGUCCACCGUGAGGUGAGGACAAGUGCAACAGAAAGGAUGUACAGGGGUCUGAGAAUGUGAGGGGUAGCUUCGGCCGGCCUCACUUCGAAUCUUUUAGAUACCUGCUGUAGUGAAAACAGGUAAACUCUACGUGGUGCAAGCUUAAAUAGGCCUGUGUUAAGGGCGGCCAGUCCGUGCAGGCGGGUAAAGCGCUUGAGUUAUAGGGCAACUUAUAACCUAGACGAAUGAUAGUUCACGACAAAACCCGGCUUAUCUCCCAUCUCUUUUU